rnacentral:rRNA from 1 species
UACAGAGGUCUCAAGCGUUGUUCGGAUUCAUUGGGCGUAAAGGGUGCGUAGGUGGCGCCGUUAGUCAGGUGUGAAAUUUCGGAGCUUAACUCCGAAACUGCAUUUGAUACUGCGGUGCUUGAGGACUGGAGAGGAGACUGGAAUUUACGGUGUAGCAGUGAAAUGCGUAGAUAUCGUAAGGAACACCAGUGGCGAAGGCGAUCACCUGGGGUUGUUCUGACGCUGAGGAGCGAAAGCUAGGGGAGCAAACGGG